rnacentral:rRNA from 1 species
CAGCCGCCGGUAAUACGUAUGUCACAAGCGUUAUCCGGAUUUAUUGGGCGUAAAGCGCGUCUAGGUGGUUAUGUAAGUCUGAUGUGAAAAUGCAGGGCUCAACUCUGUAUUGCGUUGGAGACUGUGUAACUAGAGUACUGGAGAGGUAAGCGGAACUAUAAGUGUAGAGGUGAAAUUCGUAGAUAUUUGUAGGAAUGCCGAUGGGGAAGCCAGCUUACUGGACAGAUACUGACGCUGAAGCGCGAAAGCGUGGGUAGCAAACAGGAUUAGAUACCCGCGUAGUCCCUGUCUCUUAUACACA